rnacentral:rRNA from 1 species
CAUGCCGUAAACGAUGAUUACUAGGUGUGGGGGGUCUGACCCCUUCCGUGCCGGAGUUAACACAAUAAGUAAUCCACCUGGGGAGUACGACCGCAAGGUUGAAACUCAAAGGAAUUGACGGGGGCCCGCACAAGCAGUGGAGUAUGUGGUUUAAUUCGAAGCAACGCGAAGAACCUUACCUGGACUUGACAUACCCUGAAUAUCUUAGAGAUAAGAGAAGCCCUUCGGGGCAGGGAUACAGGUGG